UACGGAGGGGGCUAGCGUUGCUCGGAAUCACUGGGCGUAAAGCGCACGUAGGCGGCUUGUUAAGUCAGGGGUGAAAUCCUGGAGCUCAACUCCAGAACUGCCUUUGAUACUGGCGAGCUUGAGUCCGGGAGAGGUGAGUGGAACUGCGAGUGUAGAGGUGAAAUUCGUAGAUAUUCGCAAGAACACCAGUGGCGAAGGCGGCUCACUGGCCCGGUACUGACGCUGAGGUGCGAAAGCGUGGGGAG
rnacentral:rRNA from 1 species